rnacentral:misc_RNA from 1 species
GAUGAAGAACGUAGCGAAAUGCGAUAAGUAAUGUGAAUUGCAGAAUUCAGUGAAUCAUCGAAUCUUUGAACGCACCUUGCGCCCUUUGGCCAUUCCGAAGGGCAUGUCUGUUUGAGUAUCAUGAACACCUCAACUCUUUAUGGUUUUCCAUGAUGAGCUUGGACUCUGGGGGUUUUGCUGGCUCACAGUCGGCUCCUCUAAAAUGAAUCAGCUUACCAGUGUUUGGUGGGUAUCAUGGGUGUGAUAACUAUCUACGCUUGUGGUUUUUCCACCAGGUAACCUUCAGCAGUGGAGGUUCGCUGGAGCUCAUAGAUGUCUCUCCUCAGUGAGGACAGCCCUUUGAAUGUUUGAUCUCAAAUCAGGUAGGACUACCCGCUGAACUUAAGCAUAUCAAUAAGCGGAGGA